rnacentral:rRNA from 1 species
GACGAACGCUGGCGGCGUGCUUAACACAUGCAAGUCGAACGGAAAGGCCCUGCUUUUGUGGGGUGCUCGAGUGGCGAACGGGUGAGUAACACGUGAGUAACCUGCCCUUGACUUUGGGAUAACUUCAGGAAACUGGGGCUAAUACCGGAUAGGAGCUCCUGCUGCAUGGUGGGGGUUGGAACGUUUCGGCGGGUGGGGAUGGACUCGGGGCUUAUCAGCUUGUUGGUGGGGUAGUGGCUUACCAAGGCUUUGACGGGUAGCCGGCCUGAGAGGGUGACCGGCCACAUUGGGACUGAGAUACGGCCCAGACUCCUACGGGAGGCAGCAGUGGGGAAUAUUGCACAAUGGGCGGAAGCCUGAUGCAGCAACGCCGCGUGCGGGAUGACGGCCUUCGGGUUGUAAACCGCUUUCGCCUGUGACGAAGCGUGAGUGACGGUAAUGGGUAAAGAAGCACCGGCUAACUACGUG